rnacentral:lncRNA from 1 species
UUCCAGGAUUCGGAAUGCCACUGAAUCUGGACAGUUGUCUCUGCUGCUGGUGCUGGUCCUCACGUUCAACUACACACUCAUACCUCUGUUUAUUGGUUUAUUUUCGUUAUAUUACCAUUUGCUCUCUUCCAGAUGUGGUGUUACAGUAUGUACUGUGGUGAAGAAGGCACUUCUCCUUCACUUGCUCCUCAUCUGGAGAUGUUCGUAAGGUCAAACUUCCUACACUCCCCAAAUCUUGGUGAAGCCGAGUGGUGCUACAACAUCCCUCCGUUAGCUUACUCGCACGUCCAGGAUAAAUACUGGGAGGUGGGGUUCUUCAGCUACUAAGAGUCGGCAA